rnacentral:rRNA from 1 species
CCUACGGGAGGCAGCAGUGGGGAAUUUUGGACAAUGGACGCAAGUCUGAUCCAGCCAUGCCGCGUGCGGGAAGAAGGCCUUCGGGUUGUAAAUCGCUUUUGUCAGGGAAGAAACGGGUUUCUCUAAUACAGAGACCUAAUGACGGUACCUGAAGAAUAAGCACCGGCUAACUACGUGCCAGCAGCCGCGGUAAUACGUAGGGUGCAAGCGUUAAUCGGAAUUACUGGGCGUAAAGCGUGCGCAGGCGGUUAUGCAAGACAGAGGUGAAAUCCCCGGGCUCAACCUGGGAACUGCCUUUGUGACUGCAUAGCUAGAGUACGGUAGAGGGGGAUGGAAUUCCGCGUGUAGCAGUGAAAUGCGUAGAUAUGCGGAGGAACACCGAUGGCGAAGGCAAUCCCCUGGACCUGUACUGACGCUCAUGCACGAAAGCGUGGGGAGCAAACAGGAUUAGAUACCCUGGUAGUCCACGCCCUAAACGAUGUCAACUGGUUGUUGGGAGGGUUUCUUCUCAGUAACGAAGCUAACGCGUGAGUUGACCGCCUGGGGAGGACGGCGCGAGUAGUUAACGUUACGUAAGAAGUUAGUAGGCGNGAGACGNGCGACGGACGACGACGAGGGAGGAGG